AUGGGUUCUUGCCCUGUCAUCCAGGCUGGAGUGCAGUGGUGCAAGCAGCCUCAAACUCCCGGAUUCAGGGGAUCCUCCCAUCUCAACCUCCUGAGUAGCUGGGAUUACAAGCACACAUUACCAUGCCUAGCUAAUUUUCUUUUACUUUUAUUUUUUUGUAGAGACAAGAUCUCCUUUUGUUUCCCAGGCUCGUCUCAAACUCAAAAAGUCAGUGACAACAAGAGGUCUGUGGUUGACGAUGGUCCUACUUCUCCAUGUUCUGAGACCAGUUUAAAGAAAAACAAAAACCAGACAACAACCUUGCAAGGGAAAGAAUUCAGAGUAAAUAAACAGUCUUUUUCUGUGAAGCAAAAUAUUUCCCUAAGAUGGAGAAAUUGA
rnacentral:lncRNA from 1 species